rnacentral:rRNA from 1 species
ACUCCUACGGGAGGCAGCAGUGGGAAUAUUGCACAAUGGGGGAAACCCUGAUGCAGCCAUGCCGCGUGUAUGAAGAAGGCCCUCGGGUUGUAAAAGUACUUUCAGUGUGAGGAAGGUUGCGUGGUUAAUACCCACGUAAUUUGACGUUAGCCACAGAAGAAGCAACCGGCUAACUCCGUGCCAGCAGCCGCGGUAAUACGGAGGGUGCAAGCGUU